rnacentral:lncRNA from 7 species
CCAAAAUUCUUUCUGAAGGGUAGCAGGAAACUCACAUUCUCUCAAUGCACAUCUUCAGCAAAAAGUGUGCACAGCCAGUACACAAAUAAUGGAAGAUAGAUCUAUCUGAAAAAGGCCUCAGGAAGUCAUCUUUGCCAUUACCUUAUCUCCAGGACAGUAGUUCUAAGUUAAUCCAGCAGGAGGUCCACACUGAUCAACUGCACAACAGACUUCCCAGCAAGGAGAACUCUGAAGCUACAGAUGGAUAGUCCGACUGCCUGGAUCUAUCAUCUGGCUGCAGCCUGCUGUGUGCUACUGCGAUUGGAGGAGUGGCUGUGGAGAUGUUCCAUUCCUGGAAAACAAGUUUCCUAUGUCCUGCCAGACCUGGAUAGGAAAAAUUACAAGAGGAAUUAGUACUGAGAGAUCCUGCAGCAAAAAGCCUUUGAAGCUCACUUCUUAGAGGUGCUGCUGUUACAACAGAUAAGAUGAGCUGGCAGAAAGGAAAGAAGGAACUUACAGAAGAAAGCACAGGAGAUGGGAAACACAACCGAAAAAAGCGGGAGCGAAUAUUUAAGAAAAGAUUUUCUGGACUGAGCCUCUUCUCUGGGUCUCCUAGGAACAAACCCCCUCAGGGAAGGAGUCAGAGCUUUGAAGACAAGAAGAGAUGCUUACACAGGAAAGGUUCCAAGAAGCUGAAGCCAGCACGGGAGGAAAUCUGUUCUUUAAGGCAACCACAUUCUGGAAAAAUGUGUCCAAAAUGUGAAAUCCUUGUCUGCCGAAAAUGUGAGACACUGCAUUCAGAAAGCAGCUUCAUUGCUCACAGCCUGCUCGAUCACUACGACAGAGGAGGACGGGGCAGCUCUACUGCAUUGAUUACAACAAGCCAGAAAGUAUGCAGAGGUGAUUAAAGAAUUACUGCGGGUGCCUUGUUGAUACCUGACUAUGUCCAAAAUGCCAAAGCUUGGAUCCAUUUAGGCUGAACCCUCAGUCUGAACAAUCCAUAUGCAGCAUCAGCAACUGCAGCUAUACUGCUGUUCAUACUUACCAUAGGUAGCAGAUACACAUCCACUCAUUUAACCAGUAUAAAGUCUGUAAGUAGGAACCAUAAGUGUCUCAGCUAUUAAGAACAUUUCAAACAGCUUCAAAGAGUUUUAUUUUUCCCCUCAAGGAAUCAAGAUUAUCACACUGAGCUGUGAAAGAGAAAGCAAGUAUCAAAUGCAGAACCAGCGGGUACAUUACAAUUGUUUGUAAUGUGUAGGUAUGUUUCAGUGUUACUUGUGGUCUGGAAUAUUAAACUUAUUUUC